rnacentral:rRNA from 1 species
UUAAGUGACUAAGCGUACACGGUGGAUGCCUUGGCAGUCAGAGGCGAUGAAGGACGUAUUAACUUGCGAUAAGCGUAGAUAAGGCAGUAAAAGCCACUUGAGUCUACGAUUUCCGAAUGGGGAAACCCGGCCGCAUAAGCGGUCAUCUCUUAGUGAAUACAUAGCUAAGUGAAGCGAACUCGGGGAACUGAAACAUCUAAGUACCCGAAGGAAGAGAAAUCAACCGAGAUUCCGAAAGUAGCGGCGAGCGAAAUUGGAUUAGCCCUUAAGCUUUUAAUGAUGCAGACGAAGACUCUGGAAAGUGUCGCAGUAAAGGGUGAUAGCCCCGUAGUCGACGCAUCAUAAUCAGUGAAAACGAGUAAGGCGGGACACGUGAUAUCCUGUUUGAAUAUGGGGGGACCAUCCUCCAAGGCUAAAUACUACUGACUGACCGAUAGUGAACCAGUACCGUGAGGGAAAGGCGAAAAGAACCCCUGUGAGGGGAGUGAAAUAGAACCUGAAACCGUGUACGUACAAGCAGUAGGAGCCCACUUGUUGGGUGACUGCGUACCUUUUGUAUAAUGGGUCAGCGACUUAAUUUUAGUAGCAAGGUUACCCGUUUAGGGGAGCCGUAGGGAAACCGAGUCUUAACUGGGCGCUCAGUUGCUAGAAUUAGACCCGAAACCAGGUGAUCUAGCCAUGGGCAGGUUGAAGAUUGAGUAACAUCAAUUGGAGGACCGAACCGACUAAUGUUGAAAAAUUAGCGGAUGACUUGUGGCUAGGGGUGAAAGGCCAAUCAAACCUGGAGAUAGCUGGUUCUCCCCGAAAGCUAUUUAGGUAGCGCCUCGGACGAAUACUAUUGGGGGUAGAGCACUGUUAAGGCUAGGGGGUCAUCCCGACUUACCAACCCUUUGCAAACUCCGAAUACCAAUAAGUAAUAUCCGGGAGACACACGGCGGGUGCUAACGUCCGUCGUGGAGAGGGAAACAACCCAGACCGCCAGCUAAGGUCCCAAAUUACUACUAAGUGGGAAACGAUGUGGGAAGGCUCAGACAGCCAGGAUGUUGGCUUAGAAGCAGCCAUCAUUUAAAGAAAGCGUAAUAGCUCACUGGUCGAGUCGGCCUGCGCGGAAGAUGUAACGGGGCUAAGUAGUAAACCGAAGCUGCGGCUGCACACUUUUGGUGUGCGGGGUAGGGGAGCGUUCUGUAAGCGGUUGAAGGUGGUCUGUAAGGGCUGCUGGACGUAUCAGAAGUGCGAAUGCUGACAUGAGUAACGAUAAAGGGAGUGAAAAACUCCCUCGCCGGAAGACCAAGGGUUCCUGUCCAACGUUAAUCGGGGCAGGGUAAGUCGACCCCUAAGGCGAGGCCGAAAGGCGUAGUCGAUGGGAAACGGGUUAAUAUUCCCGUACUUCUUAUAAUUGCGAUGGGGGGACGGAGAAGGCUAGGUGGGCCUGGUGAUGGUUAUCCAGGUUCAAGUGCGUAGGCGGAUGGUUUAGGUAAAUCCGGACCGUUAUUAACGCUGAGACACGAUGUCGAGCAACUACGGUUGUGAAGUCAUUGAUGCCAUGCUUCCAGGAAAAGCCUCUAAGCUUCAGAUUAUAAGAAAUCGUACCCCAAACCGACACAGGUGGUCGGGUAGAGAAUACCAAGGCGCUUGAGAGAACUCGGGUGAAGGAACUAGGCAAAAUGGUACCGUAACUUCGGGAGAAGGUACGCUCUUGGCGGUGAAGUCCCUUGCGGAUGGAGCUACUAGGAGUCGCAGAUACCAGGUGGCUGCAACUGUUUAUUAAAAACACAGCACUGUGCAAAAUCGUAAGAUGACGUAUACGGUGUGACGCCUGCCCGGUGCCGGAAGGUUAAUUGAUGGGGUUAGACUUCGGUCGAAGCUCUUGAUCGAAGCCCCGGUAAACGGCGGCCGUAACUAUAACGGUCCUAAGGUAGCGAAAUUCCUUGUCGGGUAAGUUCCGACCUGCACGAAUGGCGUAAUGAUGGCCACGCUGUCUCCACCCGAGACUCAGUGAAAUUGAAAUCGCUGUGAAGAUGCAGUGUACCCGCGGCUAGACGGAAAGACCCCGUGAACCUUUACUACAGCUUGGCACUGAACAUUGACCCUACAUGUGUAGGAUAGGUGGGAGCCUUUGAAACUUCGUCGCUAGAUGGAGUGGAGGCAAUCUUGAAAUACCACCCUUGUAUGCUUGAUGUUCUAACGUCGGUCUCUUAUCGGGAUUGCGGACAGUGCCUGGUGGGUAGUUUGACUGGGGCGGUCUCCUCCCAAAGAGUAACGGAGGAGCACGAAGGUGGGCUAAACACGGUUGGACAUCGUGUGGUUAGUGCAAUGGCAUAAGCCCGCUUGACUGCGAGAAUGACAAUUCGAGCAGGUGCGAAAGCAGGUCAUAGUGAUCCGGUGGUUCUGAAUGGAAGGGCCAUCGCUCAACGGAUAAAAGGUACUCCGGGGAUAACAGGCUGAUACCGCCCAAGAGUUCAUAUCGACGGCGGUGUUUGGCACCUCGAUGUCGGCUCAUCACAUCCUGGGGCUGAAGUCGGUCCCAAGGGUAUGGCUGUUCGCCAUUUAAAGUGGUACGCGAGCUGGGUUUAGAACGUCGUGAGACAGUUCGGUCCCUAUCUGCCGUGGGCGUUGGAAAAUUGAAAGGGGCUGCUCCUAGUACGAGAGGACCGGAGUGGACGAACCUCUGGUGUUCGGGUUGUCAUGCCAAUGGCAUUGCCCGGUAGCUAAGUUCGGAAUCGAUAAGCGCUGAAAGCAUCUAAGCGCGAAGCGAGCCUUGAGAUGAGUUUUCCCUGGCACUUUAAGUGCCCUAAAGGGUUGUUCAAGACUAGAACGUUAAUAGGCAGGGUGUGUAAGUGCUGCGAGGCAUUGAGCUAACCUGUACUAAUUGCCCGUGAGGCUUAACCAU